rnacentral:tRNA from 4 species
GGUCCUUUAGCUCAGUUGGUCAGAGCGAGUGAUUCUUAAUCACCCGGUCGCUGGUUCAAAUCCAGCAAGGACCAUCA